rnacentral:rRNA from 1 species
GUCUUUUUGAUUUUAAUUUAAAGUUUAACCUGCCCAUUGAAAAUUUUUAAAAGGCUGCGGUAUUUUGACUGUACAAAGGUAGCAUAAUCAUUAGUUUUUUAAUUGAAAACUUGUAUGAAUGGUUGAAUGAAAAAUUAACUUUUUUAAAAAAAUAAUUGAAUUUUACUUUUUAAUUAAAAGGUUAAAAUAAAUUUAAAAGACGAGAAGACCCUAUAGAGUUUUAUAAUUUUUAUUUAAUAUUUAAAAAGAUUAAUUAAAAUUUUAUAAAAGAAAAUAUUUUGUUGGGGUGAUAAUAAAAUUUAAAUAACUUUUAUUUUUUUUUUACAUUAAUAUAUGAAUUUAUGAUCCAUUAUUGAUGAUUAUAAAUUUAAAUUACCUUAGGGAUAACAGCGUAAUUUUUUUUUAAAGUUCAUAUUAAUAAAAAAUUUUGCGACCUCGAUGUUGGAUUAAGAUUUAAUUUUAGGUGCAGCAGUUUAAAUUUUAAGUCUGUU